rnacentral:tRNA from 3 species
GGUGUGAUAGCUCAGUUGGUAGAGCAAUGGACUGAAAAUCCAUGUGUCGCCGGUUCAACCCCGGCUCGCACCA